rnacentral:rRNA from 1 species
GAGGAACGCUGGCGGCGUGCCUAAUACAUGCAAGUCGAGCGAACAGACCAGGAUUUUGCCCCGCUUCCGUUAGCCCCGGACGAGUUAGUAACAGUUGCAGAACCUACCUAUUAGACUGGGAUAACUUCGGGAACCCGGAGCAAAUCCCGGGUAAUAUCUUGAACCGCAUGGUUCAAUACACUAAUACGGUUUUGCUGUCACUUAUAGACGGUUUCGCGCCGCAUUAGCUAGUUGGUAAGGUAACGGCUUACCAAGGCGACGGUGCCUAGCCGACCUGAGGGGGUGAUCGGCAACACUAGAACUGAGCCACGCUCCAGACUCCUACGGGAGGCAGCAGUAGGGAAUCUUCAGCAAUGGGCGAAAGCCUGACGGAGCAACGCCGCGUGAGUGAUGACGGUAUUCGGAUCGUAAAACUCUGCUAUUAGGGAAGAACAAAUGUGUCAGUAACUAUGCACGUCUUGACGGUACCUAAUAAGAAAGCCACGGCUAACUACGUG